GUUGUUUUAAUUGGUUAACUUUUCUCUUUCUUUUCACUUUCAUGAUUAAAUUUUGUUUAAUUUUCAACUAAUAGCAACAACAAUAUGUUAACCUUUUCAUCAAUCAAAUUGUAAUUAAGUUAAUUAACAUUAGUGUUACUAUGUUUUCCUUCAACAAAUUAAUUUACUCAAUGAUUUUUAGGAAACAACCAAUUGGGAAAAACAAACAAAACAAUAUAUUUACUUAAUUAUUUACUCAAUUGAGAUAAAUUCAACUAAUUGUUGGACUGUUUUCCCUUCUUCUAUUUGUAACAAUUAUACUGGACAACAUGAAGGUGUUUGUUUCUUUACCUGGAAAUCUGUAUCAAAGCCAUAAUCAUUGUCAAGUCGAUAAAUGAGAUCAGAUCGUAGAUUAGUUAAUAAUAAAUUAUAACGGAAGAGCCAAAUUGUUCCAACAACAAUAUCUCCAAUUAGUAAAACUAAUAAUA